AGAGUUUGAUCCUGGCUCAGAUUGAACGCUGGCGGAAUGCUUUACACAUGCAAGUCGAACGGCAGCACGGGGCAACCUGGUGGCGAGUGGCGAACGGGUGAGUAAUAUAUCGGAACGUGCCCAAUCGUGGGGGAUAACGUAGCGAAAGUUACGCUAAUACCGCAUACGAUCUACGGAUGAAAGCGGGGGAUCGCAAGACCUCGCGCGAAUGGAGCGGCCGAUAUCAGAUUAGGUAGUUGGUGGGGUAAAGGCUCACCAAGCCAACGAUCUGUAGCUGGUCUGAGAGGACGACCAGCCACACUGGAACUGAGACACGGUCCAGACUCCUACGGGAGGCAGCAGUGGGGAAUUUUGGGCAAUGGGCGCAAGCCUGAUCCAGCAAUGCCGCGUGGAUGAAGAAGGUCUUCGGAUUGUAAAGUCCUUUCGGCGGGGACGAUGAUGACGGUACCCGCAGAAGAAGCCCCGGCUAACUUCGUG
rnacentral:rRNA from 1 species